GCCCCAGGCCAGCCGCGGGUAAUAACCGAGUCGAGCGUAUCGAGUAACUGGCGUAAGCGCAUGCAGGUGGUUUGUUAAGUCAGAUGUGAAAGCCCGGGGCUCAACCUCGGAAUAGCAUUUGAAACUGGCAGACUAGAGUACUGUAGAGGGGGGUAGAAUUUCAGGUGUAGCGGUGAAAUGCGUAGAGAUCUGAAGGAAUACCGGUGGCGAAGGCGGCCCCCUGGACAGAUACUGACACUCAGAUGCGAAAGCGUGGGGAGCAAACAGGAUUAGAUACCCUGGUAGUUCACGCCGUAAACGAUGUCUACUUGGAGGUUGUGGCCUUGAGCCGUGGCUUUCGGAGCUAACGCGUUAAGUAGACCGCCUGGGGAGUACGGUCGCAAGAUUAAAACUCAAAUGAAUUGACGGGGGCCCGCACAAGCGGUGGAGCAUGUGGUUUAAUUCGAUGCAACGCGAAGAACCUUACCUACUCUUGACAUCCAGAGAACUUUCCAGAGAUGGAUUGGUGCCUUCGGGAACUUUGAGACAGGUGCUGCAUGGCUGUCGUCAGCUCGUGUUGUGAAAUGUUGGGUUAAGUCCCGCAACGAGCGCAACCCUUAUCCUUGUUUGCCAGCGAGUAAUGUCGGGAACUCCAGGGAGACUGCCGGUGAUAAACCGGAGGAAGGUGGGGACGACGUCAAGUCAUCAUGGCCCUUACGAGUAGGGCUACACACGUGCUACAAUGGCGCAUACAGAGGGCGGCCAACUUGCGAAAGUGAGCGAAUCCCAAAAAGUGCGUCGUAGUCCGGAUUGGAGUCUGCAACUCGACUCCAUGAAGUCGGAAUCGCUAGUAAUCGUGGAUCAGAAUGCCACGGUGAAUACGUUCCCGGGCCUUGUACACACCGCCCGUCACACCAUGGGAGUGGGCUGCAAAAGAAGUAGGUAGUUUAACCUUCGGGGGGACGCAUUACAGCGGCUGCUGCG
rnacentral:rRNA from 1 species